AUGGGUCUUCCAUUGAUGUAAAUUUCUAAACUUUACAUAAGUUUAAAAUAUAAGAAAUUAUAUCUUUUACAGUGUGCACCACAUGGCCAUACAUGCCGUCUAUCACCACUUAUUUCCACAUCAGUGCACCAAAAUAAGUGUUUGAUCCAUAAGAUUCAUAAAAAUGAGUAGUUGUGAUUGAUGGCGUAUAUGACCAUAUAGUGCAUUCAGCAUAAUGGGAGAGAAAAGAAUAGGAAUUAUAUCCAGUGUAUAAAAAUAUUAUCGGCAUUGUUACUGCUUGUUUCGGCUAAGUCGGAAGGUGUGGCCUAGUCUUUGUGCAGAGAGUGCUGGAGUGAUCUACACAAAAAAGUUUGAACAGGAAGUUUUCGCUCCUACGAGGAUCCUCUGACAUUUAAGUCAGAUUCAGAAAAUAAAGAAAGCAGUAACGAGUUCUCUGAGAGGGAUUACUUAUUUUGGUCCUCAGAAUUUUGGUUGUUUAUAUAGAAUAUCAUCGAGCAACUGAUUGAACAAUUGUGAGAUCAUGCGAUCCCGAGAUUACAAGAUCGUUAAACAUACCAUUGCGAGUGAAAUAUUUUAAGCCUUAAUCGCUCUCGCAAAAUCAGGAAAGACGGUUAUCUCUGAGCCUGUCCAUUAGGAUGGACAGCUGUUGCAUACGUUGGGUAAUAAAUCGGUCG
rnacentral:lncRNA from 1 species